GACGAACGCUGGCGGCGUGCCUAAUACAUGCAAGUCGAACGGAAAGGCCCUGCUUUUGUGUGGUGCUCGAGUGGCGAACGGGUGAGUAACACGCGAGUAACCUGCCCUUGUCUUUCGGAUAACUUCAGGAAACUGGGGCUAAUACCGGGUAGGAGCUCCUGAUGCAUGGGGGGGGUUGGAAAGUUUCGGCGGUUGGGGCUGGACUCGCGGCUUAUCAGCUGGUUGGUCGGGUAGUGGCUUACCAAGGCUUUGACGGGUAGCCCGCCUGAGAGGGUGACCGGCCACCAUGGGCCUGAGAUACGGCCCAGUCGCCUACGUGAGGCAGCAGUGGAAAACAUUGCACAAUAGGCGGGCGCGUGAUGCAGCGACGCCGCGUGCGGGAUGCCCGCCUUCGGGUUAUAAACCGAUUUCGACUGUGCCGAACCGUGAGUGACGGUAAUGAAUAAGAAAGCACCGGCUAACUACGUG
rnacentral:rRNA from 1 species